rnacentral:rRNA from 1 species
AGUCGAACGAGAACGUUUCCUUCGGGAAGCUAGUAAAGUGGCAGACCCCUUUAGUAACACGUGGAUAACCUGCCCUCGGGUGUGGAAUCUUUCUGCGAAAGUGGGGCUAAUACCGCAUAACAUUUCCGGUUCGCAGGAACUGGAAAUCAAAGAUGGCCUCUGACAUAAGCUGUCGCCUGAAGAGGGGUCCGCGUACCAUUAGCUUGUUGGCGGGGUAAAAGCCCACCAAGGCAACGAUGGUUAGCCGGCCUGAGAGGGUGAACGGCCACACUGGAACUGAGACACGGUCCAGACUCCUACGGGAGGCAGCAGUGGGGAAUUUUUCGCAAUGGGCGAAAGCCUGACGAAGCAACGCCGCGUGGAUGAUGAAGGCCUUCGGGUCGUAAAAUCCUGUCGGCAGGUAUGAAACUUUCGGUAGCUAAUAUCUAUCGGAACUGACAGUACCUGCUGAGAAAGCCCCGGCUAACUCCGUGCCAGCAGCCGCGGUAAUACGGGGGGGGCGAGCGUUAUUCAGAAU